GCCAUUUAUGAUUAUGUAAAAGUACAAUAACUGGAUGAUAUUUGCGAGAUUCGGCGAUAAAAAGCAAACAAGACGGCAAAAUAUGGCUGAAAUCGUGGGGGGUAAGUGAAAUAAAAUGUAUUAUAUUUAAAGAAAACAAUGACAAUCCUUAUGAUAUCAACAAUAUUUAUAUUAAAUUAAGCAUAGUUUUUCACCCCAUGAUAUUUUUUUUUAGGAAAUAAGAAUAUUUAAUUUCUGCCAGGCAUAUUAGUGAUUUUAUGCAUAAUUAGCAAUUUACCUGGGUAUUUGCAUGGUCAUUUUCUUGUAAAAUAUUUACUUAGACAAAUUUUUUCUUCCAAUGACCAGCCCUAAAAGUAACCCUUCUAAACACUAUAAGCACUUCAGAAAGACUAUCGCUUUUUGUUUUCUGAAGUUAGAACUAUGUCGACACUACCGUUUCAGGGCGGGGUCAUUUUCAGGACUUUCGUCCCGGAUUCAGGUUUUGGCACAUAUGCCAUGUUGACCGGCAUGGUCAUUUUACCCUAAAACAGUUGAGAUUACCUGUGCUAAAUGAAACGCAUACAAACUCAUAUACAGGUCCUAGACUAAAGUAUUCGAAAUAUGAGUGUUCCAUUUGAGAUCAUUAGAGAUGGUAAGGCCCAGUAGUUUUGUAGAUGUUACGACCUCGACAUUUUUACCAUUAAUAGUUAUGGGCUCAAAUACUUUGUUAGGCCUAGAAAAGCUUAUCCGGAGCUCUUUGCACUUGGUUUCUUUUAAUUGGAGGCCAUCUGCAAUUGACUUUCUGGCAAAUUCGUCUACAUAAUUUUGGAUUAAACUUGAGUCAUUUCUACCAACGGACUCAGACAUAGUUGAGUCAUCGACAUACUUCCAGAGAUCGUGAACACCAGAUACAUUUAGAUCGUUUAUCAUUAUUACGAAGAGCCAGGGGCCUAACUUCGUGCCUUGGGGGACACCUGCGGGUACAUCACUCCACUCUGAGAAGCAGUUAUUACACAGUUUCACUCUCUGUUUGCGGUUACUCAGGAAAUCUAAAAUCCAGUACAUAAUGGUUUUCAGGAAUGUUAUAUCUUGUAAGCUUCUCCGAUAAAAUGUUAUGAUCAAUCAGAUUGAAAGCUUUCCCAAAGUCAAACAACA